GUAGGUGGCAAGCGUUGUCCGGAAUUACUGGGUGUAAAGGGAGCGUAGGCGGGGCCGCAAGCCUCAUGUGAAAUCGACCGGCUCAACCGGUCGCUGCGUGAGGAACUGCGGUUCUUGAGUGGAGUAGAGGCAGGCGGAAUUCCUAGUGUAGCGGUGAAAUGCGUAGAUAUUAGGAGGAACACCAGUGGCGAAGGCGGCCUGCUGGGCUCUAACUGACGCUGAGGCUCGAAAGCGUGGGUAGCAAA
rnacentral:rRNA from 1 species